rnacentral:lncRNA from 1 species
UGAUAUUGUUUAGUGUUGAACAGCUAAGUAUGCCGUUUAGAGUUGAAUUGUACUGAUAUUUGCAAUAUCCUUUGAAAUACAAAAAUAAUAAGAUGAUGGAUGGGUCCCCUCUGAUAAUCCCUGUUACGCCUUCAAUCUGUGGCCCACAUUUUCACAACUCUGUUCUUUGGACCUCCAUGUUUAGGGAUGGUAACAGUUUUCAAACAUUUCGAGACUCUCUAUGCCACCAUACAUAUUGUUGUAUUUUACUUCAAAAUUUUCCCACACUUCUACAAAUAGCCCUGUAUUGGAAUAACACACAAAUUCUAGUUGCGUGUUUCAUGUUUCCUGGCAGCGCCCUGACUGAGAAAGUCAUUGGUAGGUACCAGGGAGUACUCCAGGAAACGUACCCUGCAGAUGGGAUUUUCCGAUUGGAUUGUGACAAAUCGGUGACACAUAAUGCCCUCCUUGCUCAUGAUAAAGGGCACAGACAGUCUAUCCAUUCUUCAUCCUUGUGCAGUGUGCUGGAGGACCAGUGGAUGGCAAGUGAAGGGGAGAUCAACUCGCUCCAGCUCUUCAUCCCUGAGGCAGCCAUGUUGCUGUUACUGGGACUCAGGCAGAGUGCUGACUGCUCUCAAACCCUGUUGUCUUCAUCCAGAGUGGUGUUAAUCAGCAAGUAUGAACGUGAGAGGACACGCAGUCUGCUCCAGCCUCUGCUGUUCGCUGGCUGUAUGACACUGAGCAACCCCACUAAUUCCUCGCAGCAUCAACAGUCUCUGAUAAAGUUAGAAUGAUAAUACCUACGUUGCAACGUUAGUAUCUUCAGUAAGAUUAUAUGUGUAUGUGUAAAAGAUUGCAUACAUUAUAUGUAAAUGUACCUAAUAAAUACUGGCUGGUAUGGGAAUAUAAAAUAGGA